UUGGAAGGUUAAAAACGUAACAAGGUUUCCGUAGGUGAACCUGCGGAAGGAUCAUUACAGUAUUCUUUUUGCCAGCGCUUAAUUGCGCGGCGAAAAAACCUUACACACAGUGUUUUUUGUUAUUACAAGAACUUUUGCUUUGGUCUGGACUAGAAAUAGUUUGGGCCAGAGGUUUACUGAACUAAACUUCAAUAUUUAUAUUGAAUUGUUAUUUAUUUAAUUGUCAAUUUGUUGAUUAAAUUCAAAAAAUCUUCAAAACUUUCAACAACGGAUCUCUUGGUUCUCGCAUCGAUGAAGAACGCAGCGAAAUGCGAUAAGUAAUAUGAAUUGCAGAUUUUCGUGAAUCAUCGAAUCUUUGAACGCACAUUGCGCCCUCUGGUAUUCCAGAGGGCAUGCCUGUUUGAGCGUCAUUUCUCUCUCAAACCUUCGGGUUUGGUAUUGAGUGAUACUCUUAGUCGAACUAGGCGUUUGCUUGAAAUGUAUUGGCAUGAGUGGUACUGGAUAGUGCUAUAUGACUUUCAAUGUAUUAGGUUUAUCCAACUCGUUGAAUAGUUUAAUGGUAUAUUUCUCGGUAUUCUAGGCUCGGCCUUACAAUAUAACAAACAAGUUUGACCUCAAAUCAGGUAGGAUUACCCGCUGAACUUAAGCAUAUCA
rnacentral:misc_RNA from 1 species